AGUUGACGAGCGUUUGGAAUAUCGUUAUAUUUGACUUUUUAGAAGACGCAGCUGGAUUAGAGCAUGUCGGGAAAUCUCACAGGUCAGGAGAAUCAGGGCUGUGAUCGUGCGGUUUAGAGUAUUAGUAUUAGAUUUACAGCAUUUGUUUUGUGAGGAGAAUUAUACUCAUUUGAGUUUUACAAUUUGAUUUGGUGAGAGUGUGCU
rnacentral:lncRNA from 1 species